rnacentral:rRNA from 1 species
GACGAACGCUGGCGGCGUGCCUAACACAUGCAAGUCGAACGGAGUGGAACGCUGGUCUGAGAGCAGCUUGCUGCAGGAUGAUCUUGUUUCACUUAGUGGCGGACGGGUGAGUAACGCGUGAGCAACCUGCCCUUCAGAGGGGGACAACAGCUGGAAACGGCUGCUAAUACCGCAUAACGUGCCGGGGAGACAUCUUCCUGGUACCAAAGGAGCAAUCCGCUGAAGGAUGGGCUCGCGUCCGAUUAGAUAGUUGGCGGGGCAACGGCCCACCAAGUCGACGAUCGGUAGCCGGACUGAGAGGUUGAACGGCCACAUUGGGACUGAGAUACGGCCCAGACUCCUACGGGAGGCAGCAGUGGGGGAUAUUGCACAAUGGAGGAAACUCUGAUGCAGCAACGCCGCGUGAGGGAAGAAGGUCUUCGGAUUGUAAACUCCUGUCUUAAAGGACGAUAAUGACGGUACUUUAGGAGGAAGCUCCGGCUAACUACGUGCCAGCAGCCGCGGUAAUACGUAGGGAGCGAGCGUUGUCCGGAAUUACUGGGUGUAAAGGGAGCGUAGGCGGGAGUGCAAGUCAGAUGUGAAAUACAUGGGCUCAACCCAUGGGCUGCAUUUGAAACUGCAUUUCUUGAGUGAAGUAGAGGUAAGCGGAAUUCCUGGUGUAGCGGUGAAAUGCGUAGAUAUUAGGAGGAACAUCGGUGGCGAAGGCGGCUUACUGGACAGCAACUGACGUUGAGGCUCGAAGGCGUGGGGAUCAAACA